CCUGGCCACAUUUGCAGGAAGGAUGAUAGUUUUUUGUUUUUUUUUAAAAAAGGAAGUUCCCGCUAUCUGGACUCAGAGUCCCACCCCUGGGGACGUGCUCCAACGGCAAGCAGUUUCAGGAUCACUUUGCAGGCUUGCACAGCUUUGCUCCCAUUAAACCUCUGAUUGCGUCUGUUGCCAUUUGGAACAGAGAUUCUUCGAUCAAGUCUUCAACAACAUGACACUGGAUCUGGUAAGUGUGUGCGGACCAGUCAUAGGUGUGCAGAUGUCUUCCACUCGGACAGAAGAUGGUAACCAUGUCCACAGGCACUGCCACAGACUGUCAGGGACAAACAUGUUGUUGCUAUUAUUUUUCAGCUAAAAAAAUAAGCUCUUUACAAUGCAUAGUUGGAGGAGCUUAGUCCACAGAUUCAAAGCCAUAGAAUUACAUGUUCUUAAAGACUCACAGGAGAUAACAAAGCAGAAAACACAUGUAGUGUUUUGUGGAAAGUCCUGAGGGCUGUGUGUCAGGGCCAAGCUGAAUGGGCAGGGGACUUGCUCCAGCCACCCCCCAGGGACCCAGCUCCAGCCCUGCCUGUCCUUCUUCCACUUCCCCUUUAUCUGAAGCAGUGGACAAGAGAAGGAGGAGGUGCCAAAGGACACCAGGGGUCCUGGAGGAACUGAAGCCACCACGUGCUGCAGGUGGAGGAGCCUGUAACCUCUUAAGGAAGAGUGGUUAGAAACUGCGGCCCUGAUUUGAAUCCUGAGGGCCCUUCGUGACACUUUCACUUCCAACAGCCACCACCUGUGAUGGUGUCCUGCUGUGACUCGGGACUAAGCAAAUGUGAUCCUGCCUGUUCCCAACCCUGGGAGGCCAUGCCCAAGUCUUCACCCAAGUUUCCUCAGUAAGACUGGAAGAAGGUGGGGCAGCAAAGCCCCUUUGACAAUGCAUAGCAGGAGUGUGAGUCCCGUGUCACAAGGGGACUCACAGCUCUGACGCCUUGACCAGAACAAAUGAUGUUUCUGACAAGAGGACUUGACAAGAUCCUCACGGAAUCACACAGGAUGUCACCUCCUGAGCUCUUCCAGAGCACAGAGAUGGAAGGGACACCGGGAUGGCGGGAAGGGAGGUUGGGAGCCAAGGAUCAUGGCAGUGUCCUCCAGACCCCUGGGUGUGGACUUGUUGGCCAAUGCUUCUGCAAACAAGGGGGAUGUAGGUGAUCUCACUUUCCCAAGGGCAGUGCUCAAGGCCAGGGCCAGGCCAGGGCCAGGCUGAGCUCUUACGCUUGGCUUUUGCUCUGGAAAGUUCUCUCUUGGUGUGCUGCAGAGCACAGCCCUGAAGCACAGGAUAGUGGACAAAACCCCCGUGACGGCCCAGGCUCCACCAGGCCAGCCUUCGCCCACUCAGAGCCAAGAGAAAGCAAACAGGCCUCUGGACAGCUGAGUGGAGGCUGCAUGUUCUCCUCACACACCACUGACUUGCUGGGCCCAGAGCCUGUGCUGAGGAUACCCCACACACCCAGGACCCAGGCUGGCUUCUGAGGAGCACCUGGAACAGCCAGCUGGGCAGUGGGCUCAAACUUCUCUGCCUUAGUCAACUUGAUUUUGGAUGGACUGAACAUGUCAUGUGGCAUGUGAAUGAGGGACCACCCCCUCCCCCCGCCCCUUGCCCUCUACCUCUUGGCUCCUGGUGAGCACAUUUGGAUCAUGACUGGCUAGAGCACAGUCCUCCCCACAUCCCUCUGUCUCUGGAGCACCUCCACCCCACAAAGCUCUACUCGUUCUGCAACUCCCACCAGAAAGACGGUCAUAGACUUCCUGAUACUUCCUGGUGAGUGGUAGGCAAGGACCAGAUCAAUCAACCAAUCAACCAACUAACCAACCAGCCAACCCAGAUACUUGGGAUGCAUUUUCCCAAAGACAGAGCCUUGUGAGGGAUGCCCAGGCCCAGAUGCAGCCCCCAGGGCUCCACUCCACAUCUGUGGAGCAACCAGAAAUCAUGGAUCCAUCUCAACCCCACAGAUUCCUCACAGCUGAACUGGGGAGCCAGUGCCAUUCACAGGGCAGAGACUGGGUUACUGAGCAUGUCCCUGCCUGGCCUUUCCCGGCCAAGACUUGAGUGGUAGGAGCCCAGAUGGCUUAUAUCGGCAGGGCCUCCAGUCUUCUUUCAGGAUGCCCCUGGGGCUUGUGAAGGCCAAAGAGACUUGCCAAGUGACAGGUGCAUUCUGUGAGUCUGUUCGUUCCAAGGAAAAUUUCUGGUUUCACUUGAUUCUUAUCCAGAAUGAGGCUUAGGUGCUCGUCACUAUCAUGGGGCACUGAGGGGGCAUUGUAACCACUUUGGAAAGGCAGUUUUUUCCCUCCUGAUUUGCUUCACAGUAAAGGUGGCACUGCAGCUAAUGCAAAACGAGUAAACUGUGGCAAAUGUCAUCAGCAGGCUCCCCCACCAGGAACCCUCGCUUCUUUCAGACUCUGCUGAGUCCCUCUGGGGCACUCUUGUCCUCUAGAGCACUUUGAGAUACAUCAUAGUGUCACUGUAAAGCCAAACCCUUGUCCCAGUGCGGCAGAGCAUGACCAGGCCAGCUAGAACACAGCAAGCCAGGGCUGAGCCAAACAAGGGCACGCUGACCUGUCACCCUACAGAGGCCAAGGCCUGGUGCUCAUGCCCACUCCUUAUAGUGCCAUGGCCCCCAAUCCCCAGUAUCCACCAUCCUCGGACCUCAGCCUCCUGGGAAGCUGGGAUUGCAGCCUGCAGAAAUGGGCAGAAGGGAAUGGCAGCGCAGACCCAAGGGCCAACCAAUAGUGUCAGUGCUUUCCAAACCCGAUUGGCAUAAGUUUUAACCAAUAGCUUUUAGUACUUUUCCAAACCUGAUUAGCAUAAGUAUGGACCAAUAGUGUUGACCCAAGUGCUAUAUAAACCCCUAGACCAACACACUCAGUAACCCACCUGCUACUGGUUACUCUCUUGUCUUUGAGUUCUGUUUCUAUGCUUCACACUUGAAUAAAUCCUACAUCUCUCACUCUUGCUUUCUGUUGUCCCAUCAAUCUCAUUCUUUGGACUUGCUAAAAAGAACCCAGAAAGACGAGACGUUGACAGUGAGCUUCUGGGGUCUGUUGCACCCUGGAGAGCAGAGUCCCACAUACAGCUGCAACACUGGGAGCUGAGCCCACCGUUCCAUGGUAGUGGAGAAGAACAUGGCUUUCCACCCUCGACCCUCAGAGUAAAUGCUGAAGUGGUGAAUUAAGUUUUAUCUCAAACUCUGGUUUCACUGGUUCUUCAACUGGCUCCAAGGCUGUCCCCACAGCUACUCUGCCGUGCUCACCUUCCCAGAGGACCUCUCCCCAUCCCUACAGGUGGCGUGCCACCUCUGAACACAGCAUGGCACACAACGCUUCUGGAAGUCUCUCUGAGAACAGUAAGUCAAAGUGCAUGUUUCACUGAGCUCUUGCCAACAGCACUUAUAAGCACAGAGCCCAAGUCCUGGCAUGUGGUAGAUGCUCUGGGGGACGUUGAAGAGGUGGCACAUAUUGCACAAUGAACCCUCCUAUUAUGCUGAAAGUCAUGGUCCUCCCACCAGCCUACCACCCUCGGAAAUGUGUAGCCUGGGUCCCAGGGCCCAAGCCAGAGCUGACUCUCAGGCUCAGCUCAUUAUUCACAUGCCGUCUCCUGGGGCACAUCUGCAUUGCCAAAGUUCUGAAAGGGUCCGACAGCUCUCAGAUGCAGUCACUUGUGUUCUGACCACCCACCUACACACCCCAUUUGCCUCUGAAGAGCUUGCUUAGUGAAGCCCAUAAACACAAUUCCCCUGUCGUAGCCAGGAUUCUCCAGAGGAACACAACCGAUAAGUUGUACAUAGAGAGAGAAAAUGAGAUUGAUCUUAAGAAAUCGACUCAAGCAAUCAUGGAGGUUGGCAAGUUCAAAAUCUCAGAGUAGGCCCAGGAAGGAGUGGAGGCAGCUCCAAGCUGAAAGCCAUCUGCAGGUAGAGUUCCCUCUUCUUUGGGGGAGAUCAGCCUCUUAAGGCCUUCAACUGAUGGGAUGAGGCCCACCUACAUUAUAGAGAGCAAUGUACUUUAUUCCAGGGCCACUGAUUUCAAUGUUAAUCUCAUCCAAAAAAUACCUUCACAGCAACAUCUAGACUGGUGAUUGACCAACAAUGGGGCACCACAGCCCGUCGAAGCUGACACAUAAAAAUAACCAUCAUGCCCUGUAGUGACCACAACCCUUGGAGCUGAGUGCAGCCAGUGUGGCUAUAAAGAGGGCUGAAGUCUAGGAGAUGAGGCAGGGCCUGCCCGGGGCAAAGUGCCUCAUAGACCAUGGGCUGCCAGAGGGAAGGGACCGUGGUGAAGUGGACGUGGGUCCCCUCUGCCAAGCCCAAGGCAGAGCACAAGACAGAUGCUUCAUGAGGAGUAAGGUACAUCGUGGACUCUGCCCCCAAGUGGCCUGGGAUCCAUCCCCCUGUGCAGCAGGUGUGCUGGCCUCUCUGUACUUCAGUUUCCUCACCUGAAAAUAGAAAUAAUGAAAAGGAAACAAUAAUUGUUAUGAGGAUUAAAUGAGUUAAGGUUUGUAAAAGGCUUCAGUGACCCUCCAGCUGCUUGUCAAGUAGAGUAAAAGCUUCCCUAGGUAUGGAGCGCAGAUUUCAUCACCAGUUGGGUUACACCAGCGUCCCCCCAAAUCUAAGCCUAUUCCCUGGGAGGCAAGUCAAGGCCCUCCUGGGACAGGUCCCUGCAUGGCCCGUCCACAAAAGGAGUGUGCGGGUGCAGAGCGGGAGGGCUGGGUCUGGCCACACCUGCGCGUGCACAACCCAGUCGCUGACCGCACAGGCAGCCGCCUUGCCGUGGGCUUCUGCACAGGACAGCAGAGCUUCUCUUGUUUGACCCUCACAGAGCAGGGACAUACAGCAUGGCAGGUCCAGGAGUUGCCUCAAUCUCUUCAAGGAAUGUGCGACUAGUGGCCGCCUCUCAAGAUAGCAUUUCUGUCUCUAAAAUUAAGUUUCCUCAAAAUUGGUGUCAAACUGGGUGCAUUUGUGAAGACUGAAUAUUUAGUUCAGCACUAGUAGGAAUGGCAACAAGGAUGACCAGGCUGGCCUCGGCCAUCCCUGUCAGAUAGAACCUAACGUGGGAGACAAAGGAGGAGCAGGAGGAAGAGGAGACCAACACGAGUCUUCUUAUUUCUAGGAUUCUUGGAAACAUCUGAGUAAGACAGAAAUAGGACUGUUGAACGCAGAAAGAAAUCCAGCCAGCCUGAGAACAGAACUAUUCAGUGCCUUCGGAGCCUGGGUUGAGCAAUCCCUGAGCUUCUAAUUCUUACCAGAGACAGUGCUGCUAACAUGCACAGCGGGUGGGAGAACACUGUGGCCUCCUGUUAAGUUGUCCUCACCCCAGCUUUCUCCACUGCAGAGCCUCCGGCCCAAAGCCACUAUGGUGACAAGCUGGAGGGGACCAGGAUAGGCGGGGAGGCGAGCCACCCUUCCCAUCUUUGCCUUGGCUCCCUCCAACCCUGAGUCCGUCUGAGCCUUCAGCACUCGAGGAUGCCUCUUGCAGGGUGGGAUCCCUCAGGUCCAGUGGGAGAAGGGGAUGGAGCAGGGACGGGAGGGGUGCUGUUGCCCCUCCAAUGCCCCCCCCCCAUGAGAAGCUUAGAAUACUUGAUCUUUCUGACCACAGUCUCUUCGUAGCCCAGCUCUUUCUUCAAAGCAAAGCGGCAUGGGAACCUGCAGGCAAAGCGGCCAAGGGCGGAGCUGCUCUCCUGAGCCGAGCGUCCAGUUCCUGCCACAGGACAGGUGCCUGCUAGCUGAGUGGCCUUGCACCGGUGAGUGCCCCCUGAGCCUGCAUUCGCCCAUCUGGGAAAGCAAAGAGGACACUUUGGAGUCUGCUUUGAGGGCAAAUCAAGAGCCGCACAGAUGGCUUGAAGCAUGACACUAGCACCCACCAGUAGCUCUACCCUUCCCUUAUUUGUGGGCGGUGAAGGCAAAGAAGAUCCUCAAGUUGCUGGGCACGGUAGUGUAUGCUGUAAUCCCAGCAGCUCAGGAAGCUGAGGCAGGAAGAUUGCCAGUUCAAAACCAGCCUCAGCAAUGGCAAGGUGCUAAGCAACUCAGUGAGACCCUGUCUCUAAAUAAAAUAUAAAAUUGUGCUGAGGAUGUGGCUCAGUGGUUGAGUGCCCCUGAGUUCAAUCCCCAGCACCACCCCACAAAAAAAGAGCCCCAAGUCCCCUAUGAAACUCAAGUCUUUGGUUGAAUAAACUAUCAAACACGCCAGGCCUUGGGGUGUUGGGGCUGGAUCUGCCUCCUGCCCUAGACCUACACCUGACCUGAGCAGAAUAUGCUUGCUAUCUCUCCCUGGCCCUCACAGGCCACCUGCCAAGGUCACUUUCUCCCUAUCUCCAAGGAAUCAGAUGAGUGACUGAUCCCUUUCUUUGCCCAUUUUCUAAGAGAGGAGGCUGUUGCGGUGCUGGAGCUCAAGGCUAAGGACCAGGACCUAGGUCGCCAAUGCCACCUGAGCUGGAGGACAGGCAGCCAAGUAGAACCCUGCUUCCCACUGUGUCUGUCCCACUCCCCUGGGGACACUUCCCAGUUGUGCUCUGAGGCUUACAGGAUCUAAACACAGACACGGCACCCCUGUCACGAUUUUUCCCAAGCCACUGCUUGUGCUCUUACACAUUUCUAAUCUUGGUGCAGAGUAAGCUUCUGAUAUUGGGUUGCAUCUUCCAAUCCUACCUUCUGGAAGGACCCCUGAUUUUCAAGAGGAGAACUCUGGCGCAUCACACCCCAUUACAGUUUGCUCAAAUCCUAUUUGGGGCUGCCUUCUAGAAGCUAGAAUACCCAAUAUGGACACUUGCCCAAGUAACAUUUUUCUUCAUUAAAUUAAAGGUUUUCUGAAAAAAAAAAAAAGAUGACAAACAAUGAGAGCUCCAUAGCAUGUCAACCGACAGGCUGGACAAGGCUGCAGACACCAGCCCACUGGGGACAGGCCAGGCAGCCACGCAUCCUCCAGGAGGCUUGUUUUGGGUGCAUUCUAGCUGCACGUGUUGACGGGAUUUGUCGUUAUGUACCGUACGUGCACACAACACAGCACCAUCAUUUGGCCAAUAUCACCCCCCAACACUUCCCUCCCUCCCCACCUCCCUCCCUCUGGUCCCUUUCCUCUGCUGAUCACCCUAUGAGUUUUAGGAGAUUCACCCCCCCACACACCUUUCUUUUCCUUUGUCCUUUCUAUUCUCCACAUAUGAGAAAAUCCUUAACCUUCUGAGUUUGACUCAUUUCACUUGACAUGAUGGUCUCUAGCUCCAUCCAUUUUCCUGCAAAUGACAUAAUUUCAUUUUUCUUUAUGGCUGAAUAAAACUCCAUAUAUACCACAUUUUCUUUACCCAUUCGUCUGUUGAUGGACACCUAGGCUGGUUCCAUAGUUUGGCUAUUGUGAAUUGUGGUUGCUAUAAACAUGGGCCAGCAUGUGUCACUGUGGUAAAAUGGCCCUAAUUCCUCAGGGAGAAAUGCUGAGAAGUAGCACAGCUGGGUCAUAUGGUGGCUCCAUGCCUGGUCUAUCCAGGAGCCUCCCUGCUGAUUUCCAUAGUGGUUUUGUUAAUUUAUGAUCCCACCAACGGUGUAAGAGUGGUCCUUUUCCUCCACAUCCUCUCCAGCAUUGAUUAUUAUUUAUAUUCUUGAUGAUUGCCAUUCUUUCUGACUGGUGUGAAAUAAAAUCUUAGUGUAAUAGUGUAAUUCAACAGUGUUUUUACAAUGUCAAUUCAAUAAAAUACCUUCAAAUAAACUUGAAGGAUACAUGCAUGAAAUGUCUAAGAAAAAAAUGUUAAAAAAUCAAAAGGAAGAGAAGAGCCAGUGGGAACACGUACCACAUUUUAAGAGAGGAAGAUUUAUUGCCAAGUUGAUUCUCCUUAAAUUACUUUACAAAUUCAAUAAAAAUAUCAGCUUAAAAAAAAAAAACCUAGAUAAGCUGACUCUAAAGUUCAUCUGGAAAGUGAAACAGCCAGGAAACUGUUCACAAUGACUGAGACAUGGAAUCAGUCCAUGUGCCCACCAGUGCACGAAUGGAUAAAGAAGAGGUGUGGGGUCUUAUCAGCCAUAAAAAAGAAUGAAGUCCUGCAGCCUGCAGCAAAUUGGGUGAGAGUGGAGGAAAUUAUGUUAAGUGAAAUAAACAAGACCC
rnacentral:lncRNA from 1 species